rnacentral:SRP_RNA from 1 species
GCCAGGUGUGGUGGCGUGUGCCUGUAAUCCCAGCUACUCAGGAGGCUGAGGCAGGAGAAUCGCUUGAACCCAGGGGGCAGAGGUUACAGUGAGCUGAGAUCCAGCCACUGCACUACAACCUGGGCAACAGAGUGAGACCCUGUCUCAA